rnacentral:rRNA from 1 species
AUUGAACGCUGGCGGCAGGCCUAACACAUGCAAGUCGAACGGUAACAGGAAGCAGCUUGCUGCUUUGCUGACGAGUGGCGGACGGGUGAGUAAUGUCUGGGAAACUGCCUGAUGGAGGGGGAUAACUACUGGAAACGGUAGCUAAUACCGCAUAACGUCGCAAGACCAAAGAGGGGGACCUUCGGGCCUCUUGCCUUCGGAUUUGCCCAGAUGGGAUUAGCUAGUAGGUGGGGUAACGGCUCACCUAGGCGACGAUCCCUAGCUGGUCUGAGAGGAUGACCAGCCACACUGGAACUGAGACACGGUCCAGACUCCUACGGGAGGCAGCAGUGGGGAAUAUUGCACAAUGGGCGCAAGCCUGAUGCAGCCAUGCCGCGUGUAUGAAGAAGGCCUUCGGGUUGUAAAGUACUUUCAGCGGGGAGGAAGGGAGUAAAGUUAAUACCUGUGCUCAUUGACGUUACCCGCAGAAGAAGCACCGGCUAACUCCGUG